ensembl:lncRNA
GUUCACUGCCUCCAGCCUUGUCCUGGUGAGCACAGUGAGCUGGGGCUGGGACCUAGAACGAGGCCCACACUCUGCAGAGGAGGACACAGGCAGAGGUAGGAGGUGAGAGAAAGUCCACAUAGAACCUGAUACCCAGCAGCUGUGAGUUCCUAGUGGGCAAGGCCUGGCUAUUCUGCAGGGUUGAACUCUAGCUCCAAGUACAUUUUGGAUGGGUGGGUAGGUGGGUGGAUGGAUGGUAACAUCCAGGAUGGCAGGAAGUCCAAUGCUGAGUAGGAGGAUGCCUCAACUGUUGAGAAGAGCACAGCAAGGGGAAUCCAGAAGCUGGCGAAUGGAGCUGCCACCUGGGAAAGUUGUCAUCAGAGAAAAGGGCCCUUGCCUCUGGAGGGCUGACUGGGCAUUGAGUAGCGCAAAGACAAUGUAAAGACCACACAUAAGGCAGGCACUGGGGCUCAGGACCGGAGCUGAACUGAUAGAAGUCAAAUGGCUACAGCUGCGGACAGAGACAGUGCAAGGUGACAGGCAAAACAGAACAUGAGCAGGCCAACCGGAGCGCAUCUCUCUGAAUUCUUCUGCAACCAGCUUGAGAAAACUCUGCUUUUAAAGGCUCACCUGAUUAGAUCAGGCCCACCCAGGAUAACAUAACAUAAUCACAGGAGUAAUGUCUCAUCAUAUGCAGAGGUCCUUCCCAUGAUUAAGGAGAUUAUACACCCAAGUGUGGCAAUCUUGGAGGCCAUCUUACAAUCCUAUAUCCCACAAAAGUGCUAUUAAAGAAGAUGCUCCUUCCUUAUUCCUCUGUAAGGAGCAGGUAUGCCUGGUAUCCACCUUUCUCACCAGAUGGAGGAAGCUUGCCUGGGAAUGAAGCCAACCCAGAAGAGAGCAGAACAACAGAUGCAUAAAGACAGAUAGAACACUUACUGCAUCCACUGAAAGCCUGGAUCAUGCUAUACCUAAAGGCCCACCCACAGGCUUUUCCAUUUCAUAAGACGAUUAACUUUUUUCUUAAGCUAUUUGACUUAGAUUCUGACCUUGCAGUUGAAAUGGCCUUGAAUAUUACAGAGGUUGAAAAUGCAUGGCUCUUGAAGAUGUGCUUGCCAUGUUCACAAUUUCACCUAAUGGGCCCUCCUCUCAAAAGAUUAUUUGUUCUUAAGAAAAUCUGUCACAAAAUUUUGUUUCUUUAAUGAGACAUUCAGGGGGAAAAGCAUGCCUAAGUCCAAACACGUGAGAAACAAAUAAAUGAAAAGUCUGCACAAAGAUAUAAAAGAUUUAAAAAAGAUGGCAACAAUAAGCUGGGGUGUGGGUAAAACUAAAGAGAUACUAUCAAGGGCUGAGAAGAAUUACAACCUGCAAAAUAUUGCUGUUGAUGGCCAAAGACUCUCCCCCCCCCCCCCCCGGAGAAAGAGCAUUUCUGCUUUAAUGGGGCUGCCCUACAUUUGUGUGUCACUUUCACCUAUGUUGUCACAUUUAAUCUUCAUGGUGACUCAGUAAGGUGGUCAAUAUCGGUGGACAGUUUCCAUUUCAUAGUUAAGCAAACUGAGAUUCAGAAAAAUUAAGCAAUUCGCCCAAGCUCACAAAGCUGGUAAGCGGCCGAGUCAGGACUAAGCUCAGGUUUCGGGGUGCUGGUCCACGCCGGUGAAGGACAUGAGCUUUAGAACAGCCGGCCCCGCUCAGGUCGCCGCCCCGCCGUUUCCCAGCUUCCAGCUGCCUUUGAAUAAGUUCAUAAAUGUCUGAAACUCCUUGUUCCAGGUUAGCUAACAACGUCCUUCUCAUCGGAUUGUUCGAGGAAUGAAUAAAAUGGCCUUUGUAUAGAUGGUGCUGGCGAGAGUUUGUUCCCUUUCACAUCACUCAGGGGAGGUGACAGGCACCCUCGUGGCCUGGGGAAAGGACGCAGGAGGGUUGUAAAAUGUUUGGGGCAGAUGCUGCCUGCAAAAUCUCUCCAGGAGUGAUGCGAGCCCGGAAUGGGGGUCCCAGUCUCUGUGGAGAGGGCGGCAGAUGGAGGGGAGCCGAUGACACAACAGAGUGACAAGGCCUCCAUGGGGAGGGGAGGCCCGCACCCCAGAGCAGGGCCUGCGUGCUUCCUCUCUGAUCCCUGCUGUUCUUCAGGACCAGGUCAGACUCAACGCAUCUGCUUCCCGUGCGCUCUGAACACAUGGUUCCAGCUCCUGGGCUGGUGGAGCGGAUGAGUUUAGCAUCAGAAGUCUUAUAAAGUCCACUCCUGGGCAUCUGAGCAAACACAAAAUCACCUUCUGAAAUGAGCAAGCUUCAAACUGUGAGAUGCCAGGGCAUCUGAGAGCCCAGUUUGUAACUACGUGCUAAGAGUGGAUAUUCUUAACCAGUUUCUGGUCUCUGUGGUGCCUUAUCCCUACCUCUGACUCUGCCAAGCGAUCUUCCUAUCAGUGUGGCACCAGGGAGAGUUACUGCUUUGUGAAUGCAUGGACCUGACAUCUGCUCCCAUCUUCGCCCUGAACUUGCUGUGUGACGUUGACCAAAUCACUUUCCCUCUCUGGGCCUCAGUGUACUCAGUUAUAAGAUGAAGGGGCUGAGUUUUUAGGUGGCUUUUUUAUUACUUGAGACUGAAAAACAUCCUGAGAAAUAGAGAGAUUGUGGGCUCCUCCG